CUCUCAGUGUGGAGAAAAAAAUAAAACUUUCUGAAAAUAGAAUGGUAGCACUUUGGGCUUCAAAGUUGCUGGAAAAAUUCUAAUUAAAUAAGUUUGAGAAAUAGGCUGAGAUGCCAGCUUAUAUCAUCUUCCCGAGAAACACAAUAAAGUUAAAGUAGCAGGAUAAAACUAAAAUAACAAAAAUCUGUAUGAAAAUGCAGGAGCUCUACCAGGAUGGGUAGGAUUUGAAGAGCAAGGUAGCAGAGGAAAGAAAAGUGGUUUUUUUAAGUUCACCCUGACAUUCUGUACCUGUUUUCCCCUCCAGGCAUUUGCUGAUGCAAAAACUGCACAGGUGGAGAGGCUGAGAAGCCAAGCAGAAAGCCCUGCCAAGGGGCAGAGAAGUAGGGCAGAGCCUUUGUUGUUCUCCAGGGGCCUGGGAUGCACAAACAUGAGUUCAGAGCUGGCAGCAAAGCCAAGAGAGAGCCAUGCCUCUGUCUGUCAAUGAAGAAGUCUUUCCUGGACAUUUGUAACCUUCAGUUGAGCUGGGAAUCCCAUUUCUAUUUCCUGCUUGUACCAGGAACCAUGAGACAACUGGUCUGGAAAGAGGUAUCAAGGAACAUCUUCGUUCAUUCAUUUUCAGUGAGCAGCACAGAGGUUGGAGUCAAAAGAAUAUGUGUCCUCUGUCUCAAAAUUUUUUUUCUGAUUUCCUGUCAGCAAUAAAUUCACAUGAAGAUCAUGCCUUAGAGGGAGGCAACUGUACUUCCUAAUUAAGAAGGAACAUACUAUCCUUGGCUUAGGUGUCCGCUGCAGAGCAGGUCUUUUUUAAAAACUGUAAUGUUUUUGACUUGACAUUUAAUUCCACAGACACUUACUAAACAUUUAUACAGUUCCUCUCUCAAGGAACUUUUAAUCUUGCAGCACAGAGAAAAGUCAUGGGCGAAAUGACAUGGAUCCGAGUACGUGACACUCAGCUUUUAUUUUACCACAUCAGUUCCUUCGAUUGGUCCCUUAUAACACGGUUUUAAGAUCUUUUCUCAUUCUGGUUCACAAAACCAAGAAAGUUGAACAGAUUUGUCAGGUGCAGUUCCUGAAAUUACACGUAUGGCAAUAGGAGCCAUUUAUGGAGGACAUCUUCAAUUCUCGUUGCUAGGGAGUGAGUAUGGUACCAGGAAUCUGGAAGCACAGAGGUAAAAGCAAUGGAAUGGAGGAGGAAAUACAUAUACAAUGUACAUUCCCAAAGUCAGAGUGACAGGGAACCUGUGUCAGCUACAAGUGUGGCUGGCUGACUCCACCACAGCUAGAGGAGUGACUCUAGUCAGGGCUAGACUUUCUCCAAGCAUGUUGGACCCAAUGAUGAUUCACAACAAACCUAUCAACUCCAGAAGCAUGAGCCAUUAGGACACACUGGGUCUCCAUGUUCAACCACUAACUGAAUUAAGUUUUCAAAAAUUCUCAGAAUAAAGUCGUUUCCCAAACAAUUAGGUGUGGGUGCUAAUUCCAUAUAGAUAAAAUUAAAUGCAUAUGUGAAACGGGUUUUUUUCACCUCCAAUAAUUAAAAC
rnacentral:lncRNA from 1 species